UUUCUUUCAAGAAGGUUCUUGAACGCUCUAAAACCAUCUCCCAAUUACAUUACAAACAGGGUGACGAAACCCUAAGCAGAUCGAGCGAAGAAGAGAACGCCGGAGAAAAUGUCGCAUUUCGGGAGAACUGGCCCGCCGGACAUCGCUGAUACUUACUCUCUCCUUGUCCUCAACAUCACUUUCCGUACCUCGGCGGAUGAUCUCUUUCCUCUUUUCGACACGUAUGGCAAGGUUGUGGAUAUCUUCAUUCCCCGGGACAGAAGGACUGGUGAGUCACGUGGGUUUGCGUUUGUUCGUUACAAGUAUGCAGAGGAAGCACAAAAGGCUGUAGAUAGGCUGGAUGGAAGAGUGGUUGAUGGACGGGAAAUGGCUGUUCAAUUCGCCAAAUAUGGGCCAAAUGCAGAACGAAUUCACCAAGGGAGGAUCAUUGAGAAAGUUCCUGGAAUCAAGGGAAGCUCAAGAAGCAGAAGCCCUCGUAGAAGAUACCGUGAUGACUAUCAUAGAGAUAGAGAAUACAGGAGAAGUAGGAGCAGAAGCGUUGAUCACUAUGAGCGUGAUAAAUAUCGGCAGAGAGAGCGGGAUUAUCGCCAUCGGUCCAGGAGCCGCAGCUUAAGUCCAGACUAUGAUCGAGAUCGUGGCAGGGGAAGUGACAGAAAACAUCAUAGGCGGAGCCCAUCAGUUGACAGUGCCUCCCCAGCUCGGCGUAGCCCCAGUCCUCACAGGAAAGAGUCUCCUCGUAGAAGCUUAUCACCUACAAAAGGAAGUCCUGAGAGGCGUGUUCGCAAUGAACGCUCUCCAACUCCUCGAAGUCGUUCCCCUCCAGGUCGAGCAAUGGAUUCACGAAGCCCUUCUCCUCGUGUUGAUGAGGAUUGAUUUUCUGGUGGCAUAAUAUGAGAACAAGCAGACAAGUGCAUCAACAACUUUAGCUUUCUUCUGAAUGUGUUGAAACACAAAAUGUGAUGCAAUUUCUAGGCAGAAUAUUAGCUGACAUUUUGUUAUGAUCGAGAGAAGGUUGGUGAGGUUGAUAUCAGAUGAUGAUGAUGGUGAUAUGGCUGCCAAUCCUCAUAAUUAUAGUUAGUUCGUGAAUUUGAGGAGGCUGAUUGGUAGAUUGUGUGUUGAUUGACAGUGCUGAUGGUUAGCUGUUGAUAUGCAGCUUCUGAUGCUGUUUGUAGUUAAAUGUAUUUGCAAUGCAUGAACAGCAGAUGCUGGCUGGAGAUUUUCUCCGUGCACCUGUGUAUAAUAUAUUGGGGAUGGGAUGCAACUGGUUAUGUAGGAUGGACAGAGGAUGAAUCUACCUCUGUGCCUGAUGCAGCUAGUGAGGUGUCCCCAUUGGCAAAGCUGAUGCUAGUUGUCGUACGUGCUGGCCCCUGGAAAGGGUGAACAUCUCAUGUGGUCUAUUUUGCCCCCAACGUGCAUAACAGAUGAGAAUUAUCAUACCCUAACCAGCCAGAUGAUCAUGUCUUGUUGUGAUGCUUUUGUUGACAUUUUCUUGCUCGUGGAUCGUGAUUGUAGCUGAAUGAAAGGCUGGUUCAUUGUCCGUUCGAACAUCCUUUUAGCUUCUGGGUGCCCCUGAUCUUCCAGAACUUCACUUGAUCUGACGUUAUCCUGUAUGUAGCUGAUGGUCUCCUUGGUGAUUCAGCUUCAGUGUGUUUUUUCGGUGUUUGUGUUGUUUUAUAUUUUUGAUCCCCAUGGCUCUACAGGUCAAGGUUAUUAUAAAUUCUGUUUUUAAACCUUAAAAACCAACGAAUUUGUUGGUUGAAUCUCUCAACUAUCCCCUUUGGUCUAAUAGGCUGUGGGGGUCUCUGCAAUAGUUAAUAUAGAUGAGGUUGGUACAACCUAUUUGUAUCGAAGGCUUAGUAUAUUGUAGGAUAAAUCACAGGUGUCUUGGGCAUCUGAGUGUUUGUCUUAUUAGUAAUAUACACAAUAGGCACAGUGACUGGGCAUUGCUCAAGGUCAAAGCUGUGGUUGACUUUUACAAUUUGUUUGUAGUGCUGUAAAAUAUUGGUCAUAAGGAUUAAGGAGUGGAUUUUGUCUGCAGCAUCCAUCUCUGUUCUACUGUUGCCACUUGAGUUGUGGUUAGUAGUGUUUGCCAUUGUGCAGUUUGACCGUGUAUAGCCAUGCUUCUGUUUCCUGCAGUUAAACGUUUAUUUGUGUGCA